UACGAAGGGGACUAGCGUUGUUCGGAAUCACUGGGCGUAAAGCGCACGUAGGCGGAUGUGUCAGUCAGGGGUGAAAUCCCGGGGCUCAACCUCGGAACUGCCUUUGAUACAGCACGUCUCGAGUCCGGAAGAGGUGGGUGGAAUUCCUAGUGUAGAGGUGAAAUUCGUAGAUAUUAGGAAGAACACCGGUGGCGAAGGCGGCCCACUGGUCCGGUACUGACGCUGAGGCGCGAAAGCUAGGGGAGCAAACGGG
rnacentral:rRNA from 1 species